UGGGAUGUGGCAACGAGAAUGGCGAACUCAAAGGGAACCAGGUGUGCCAGGGCAGCUGGUAGCCACGGCAGGGCGAGGGUGUGGGUGGUUCCUGUGUUCCUCUGAGUCCCUGUCUCACCAAUAGGCCACACAGGAUGGUCUCCCUCUAAAUGUUAAUCUCGAGGUGACGAGAGUGGCAUUCGGACAUCAGAGCACUGAUGGUGGGCCAUUUCCUGCAAGCCCCACUCACCCCUGC
rnacentral:lncRNA from 1 species